UACGUAGGGUGCGAGCGGUAAUCGGAAUUACUGGGCGUAAAGCGUGCGCAGGCGGCUUUGCAAGACAGAUGUGAAAUCCCCGGGCUCAACCUGGGAACUGCAUUUGUGACUGCAAGGCUAGAGUACGGCAGAGGGGGAUGGAAUUCCGCGUGUAGCAGUGAAAUGCGUAGAUAUGCGGAGGAACACCAAUGGCGAAGGCAAUCCCCUGGGCCUGUACUGACGCUCAUGCACGCAAGCGUGGGGAGCAAACAGG
rnacentral:rRNA from 1 species